rnacentral:lncRNA from 1 species
CUCCCUCCACGUGCUCUGGGGGAGAUGGGGAAAGAUCAUCUGUGGUUAGGCCCCGGCUCCUUGAAACCUUUCCUUGGUCGCAGGAGACUUUUUGCUCUAAGACUUGAAACUGUAGACGCUGCGGGCAGAGGCUGUGGUCGCUACAAAGGACCCGCCAGUCCACCAAGGGAAGGAAGAGUGUCUGCCUGGUUUUGCUGUGGAUCCGAAGCUCAAACAUCCAGAGGUGGGAUCCAGGUCAAUUUGCUUCAGAGCAGGAUGGACAGGACCGGACCUGUAAGAAUUCUCUGGUGAACGUGUCAGUAUGUGGUAUCUAUGGCCUAAUCAUCCCAUCUUUCCCAUCCCAAUCCCAGCACACCAUUGGAGACUUCCACCCACCCUUUGAUUUUUAGCGUUGGUCUUAGAUUUUUGCCUAGCUGACAGACAGGUUCCGGUCAUCUCCAAUUUCCCUUUCCAAAUUGUCUAGUCUUGACUUAUCCUGAUUUCUAAGUAGCGGGUACCCAGCAAGAAUCCCAGGCAGGCCAAUCCUAUCUAGGUGGCCUCCCUUUCCCCGAGUCAGCAGCGGGCACCUGAGACACCCCCACAGCCUGUGCGCUGUCAACUGUGAGCCGCCUUAGGGCAGAAAAACUGCUUAUCGGACAUCGGAAUCUAGCUCCACUUGUAUCCGUAUCCAGUUACUAGUAUGUUCUGGGGCAUUUGUACUCUCUUGUCUAAAAAGAUCUUAGAAAUCUUGGAUCCGUGCUCAAUUAACAAUAGGUUUUCCUAUCAGAGAGUUCAGUCAAUUACUGUCAGAUAAAGUAAAUAUGAUUAUGCAGCUUGGGUUUUAGUCUCUAUGUCUGCCUGGGUUCACCCCCAUCACUUCGAACAUAUCACAAGCCCCUCCCAUGGGAUAUUUGAUUACAGAUCUUGCUGUAGUGGUGGCAAAUUCCCUGGGGGGGGUACUUUAUAGAGGCAGAUAUACUAAAUAAAGCUAUACCUCCUGUUAACCAUUACAAUAAAUGCAUUACCAACUGAAAAUGUAAUUUUAAAA